rnacentral:rRNA from 1 species
AACGAACGCUGGCGGCGGGCUUAACACAUGCAAGUCGAGCGCCCCGCAAGGGGAGCGGCAGACGGAUGAGUAACGCGUGGGAAUCUACCCAUCUCUACGGAAUAACGCAUGGAAACGUGUGCUAAUACCGUAUACGUCCUUCGGGAGAAAGAUUUAUCGGAGAUGGAUGAGCCCGCGUUGGAUUAGCUAGUUGGUGGGGUAAAGGCCUACCAAGGCGACGAUCCAGAGCUGGUCUGAGAGGAUGAUCAGCCACACUGGGACUGAGACACGGCCCAGACUCCUACGGGAGGCAGCAGUGGGGAAUAUUGGACAAUGGGCGCAAGCCUGAUCCAGCCAUGCCGCGUGAGUGAUGAAGGCCCUAGGGUUGUAAAGCUCUUUCACCGGUGAAGAUAAUGACGGUAACCGGAGAAGAAGCCCCGGCUAACUUCGUGCCAGCCGCCGCCGUAAAAC